UAGCUAGUUGGUGAGGUAAAAGCUACACCAAGGCGACGAUCGGUAGCUGGUCUGAGAGGAUGAACAGCCACACUGGGACUGAGACACGGCCCAGACUCCUACGGGAGGCAGCAGUGGGGAAUAUUGGACAAUGGGGGGAACCCUGAUCCAGCAAUGCCGCGUGUGUGAAGAAGGCCUGAGGGUUGUAAAGCACUUUCAGUGGGGAGGAGGAUAUGUAGGUUAAGAGCUGACAUAUUGGACGUUACCCACAGAAGAAGCACCGGCUAACUCCGUGCCAGCAGCCGCGGUAAUACGGAGGGUGCGAGCGUUAAUCGGAAUUACUGGGCGUAAAGGGUGCGUAGGUGGUUAAUUAAGUUAGAUGUAAAAACCCUGGGCUUAACCUAGGACUGAGAUUUAAUACUGAUUAACUGGAGUAUGGGAGAGGGUAGUGGAAUUUCCGGUGUAGCGGUGAAAUGCGUAGAGAUCGGAAGGAACGCCAGUGCGAAGGCGGCUACCUGGCCUAAUACUGACACUGAAGCACGAAAGCGUGGGGAGCAAUCAGGAUUAGAUACCCUGGUAGUCCACGCUGUAAACGAUGUCAACUAGCCGUUGGUCAUAUGAAAAUGAUAAGUGGCGC
rnacentral:rRNA from 1 species